ACAACCUCUCGAAAGAGAGGCUAAUACCCAAAAGGGUCAGAAAUGAUCAGAGUCGAAAGGCGUGAGGAGAGGAGCCCGCGGCCCAUCAGCUAGUUGGUGAGGUAAUGGCUUACCAAGGCUACGACGGGUAGGGGAUCUGAGAGGAUGUCCCCCACACUGGAACUGAAACACGGUCCAGACGCCUACGGGUGGCAGCAGUGAGGAAUAUUGGACAAUGGGCGAAAGCCCGAUCCAGCAACGCCGCGUGGAGGAUGAAGGCCUUCGGGUCGUAAACUUCUUUAGAGGGAGACGAGAAAGGACGGUAUCCCUAGAAUAAGCGACGGCAAACUACGUG
rnacentral:rRNA from 1 species